GAGGGUGAAGAGAGAGGGAGGGGAAGAGAGAGAGAGAGAGAGAGAGAGAGAGAGAGAGAGAGAGAGAGCUCAUCUGCCCUAAUUUGUUCCUCCUGGAGUGUCAUCAUCUGCCCUAAUCUGGACAAGGUCGAGGGGGGGAGCAGCAGCUGCAGCUCGUGAGAAGCCUCAAUCAGACCCCCGGGGGAAGGAUCCGACAGCCGAUAGGCCAUUAUGGGAGCAGACGGUCUGUGAAGACGCAGCCUUCCCUGAGCCAUGUGAUCCUUCGGAGCUCUCUCCAUCGCCCCACCUAUCGGAGUCGACGAACGUCCGCUUUCUGGUCUCUAAUCACAGUCUGGUGGAGAAAUUUGAGCGCGUUCCUGAAGCUUGGUGUACGUUCUGGUCAUGCAUGCUGGUGCUUUGGAGGAAUGUCGGAGAGCAAAGGCUUCUAAAUGAAUCUGAUUAUGACCUCUAGCAGAAUAUGGUACUGUCUCCAGCAGCCAAAAAGUUCGCCAGGCCUUCUAUGAGUCAGGAAGUUCAUAUGAGAGCGGACUCAGUAAACGAACAUUCUUUAAAGAAGGACAAUGACUGCCUUGGCACCAUCGAUGACCGCAAAGAGGAUGCUACCAGUGUAAACAGUAGUAAGAGCAAUGGCAGUCCCAAGCAGAGGAAUCUCCCCAAAGAUCCAACUUCAGAUGGUGGUUUACAUCCAGAAGGAAAUGGAAAGGCAAAUCGAGGUGCAGAAGUUAACAAAAAUAGCACGAAUCCCGCACGUGAAACAUCUAACUCUUCUAAUGAAGAUGAGAAAGAAGAGAAGUCUGUUGACAGACCUGACUUGCAAGACUCGCCUAUCAAAUCUGUUCCUUGCAAUGAUAGCGAGGACUCCAAUGCCAUGGAGCAGGAUGUAAAAGUAUGUGACAUUUGUGGGGACGCAGGUCGGGAAGAUUUACUUGCAAUAUGUUGUAGGUGCACUGAUGGCGCUGAGCACACCUAUUGCAUGCGAGAAAUGCUACAGAAAGUCCCAGAGGGUGACUGGCUUUGUGAAGAAUGUAAACUUGCUGAGGAAAGUACAGCCCAGAAGUCAGAUCUUGAUUUUGAGGAAAAGAGUUCUACUAAAGCUAUGCAAGUUUUGGGCAAAAGACCUGCGGAAGAUAUUGGAGUUGCACGUGCAGUGAAAAAGCAGGCAUUGGAGGUGAAUGCUAGAUCUCCAAGGAUGGUUAAUCUCAACGGAACAGCUGCAUCUUCUCGGAAUUCUUCCUUUAAAAACAUGGACAAAGGAAAAGGAAGAGCAUCCCAUGACAAUUCUGAGAUGCCCCUCUCCCCCACCGCUCCAAGAAAUCAAGCCUCCAAAAAUGCUUUGUUGAAGUCCAAGUCAUUUAGUGCUUUGACUGCAAAAUCAAAAGUUAAACAAGAAGAAGGUUUCCCGCAGAAGCCGAGGGGAGCACGUUCCAAUUCUUUAUUGGACACCAAAAUAGGUCCCUUGAGAACAUUGGGAAAAUCUGCGUCAUUUAAACAUGUAAAUCAAGGAAGGGCAGAUUCCCCUGAUUCUAAAGUUAAAAUAUAUCCGGCCAAGUUUUCUAAUGUACAGGAAUUAAAAGGAGCAUCUAAACACCGGGAUGAGCAAAAUCCAGCUGAUAGGAGUAGGUUACCCAGAGUAGACCAAGAUCGCCCUAGUACAACUAGAAACAGUCCUGUGUUAUACGCCCCUAAGUUGGACCAGAAACCGUCAUCUCGAUCUGAUACUCAUUCACUUUCAUCUGCAAGCGACAGCCGAGAUUCCAAUAUUAUACAAUCUGAUGGCAAACCAGGCUCUUCACUUUCGAAAUCAGCCAGUUAUGUUGCCCGUCGAGGCACAGAUGGUACUGUUGGUUCAGGUGCGAGUGGAUCUUCUUCUAGUGAUGGUGGAUGCAAUACCUCCAUCAAGAAAAGGUCAAAUCACAUCGGUCCAAAGGGUGGGAACCUUUCAGGUUUACCUUCGUCAUCAGAGAAACUGUGUAGUAGUGGUACUGGUAAUAUACAAGAUGUGUUAACUCGUGCUCGGGAAUCCAGAAACCAUGUGGAAAAAACCCAAGAAAGUUCUGCUAGUCGCUUUGGGAAGGCUGUUACGUCUGGUUCAAGGACUCUUCCCUGUGAAAAAUGUGAUGAAUUUGGUCAUACUGCUGAGGUUUGCUUGCAUGGUAGCUCUCAAGCCUGUGACAUCGAUGUUACUGCCACAAAAUUUGUUAGAGGGGAUAUGACUUAUGGAAGCAAGUCUACUGUUCCAGUAACAUCAGCUAUGCUUAAAAAGCCUGGUAUAUACAGAAGGAACAAAGCACUGGAUAGGUCUGAUAAUUUAUCAGUACCCAAUGCUCCAGCUACUCAAGAACAACCAACAUUUCCAGAUCUCUCAAAGAAAUCUGAAAAUGUCCCACAGUUGAAUGGCGUAAAUGAAGCUAUACAUUCUCUCAAAGCAGGGGCCUUAGAAUCCAAAGCCAAGCCUGUGCUUAGAGAAUUGCCUGCUCUUUGGAACGCUUCCAUCAUUCCAGAGCAUGAUUGCAUCUGGCAAGGCGGAUUUCAGGUAUAUAGAGGCAGUAAACUGAUCGACUUGCAUGGGGGAUUUCAAGCACACUUAUCUACGUGUGUAUCACCAAAGGUUCUUGAAAUGGUUACGAAAUUUCCUGAUAAAAUUGCCUUGAAUGAAGUGCCUCGGGUGAGCUCAUGGCCUAUUCAGUUCCGUGAGUCUGGGACUAAGGAGGAUCAUAUUGCUCUCUACUUUUUUGCUCAAGAUCUCGAGAGCUAUGAAAGGAACUACAGGGGCUUGCUGGAGAAUAUGAUGAAUAGUGACUUGGCUCUUAAGGGAGAUCUGGGCAGUGCUGAACUCCUUAUUUUCCCAUCUAAUCAGCUUCCCGAGAAAUCCCAGCGUUGGAAUAUGUCUUUUUACCUUUGGGGCGUCUUUAAAGGAAGUCGGGCAAAUGUUUUAGACUCUGGACUUGGUGAAGGUGAAGGUUCUAGAAAGAAGCAAAAGACUGAUAAUCACGAAACAAGUGGAUGCAACAGUCCUAGAGAUGCAAGCCCAUCGAGGGAUGGCUUUGCUCAUCAGGUUCAUGAUCUCAAUGAAUGCUCAGCUGUUGCGGAGAAUCUAAGUGGAGACUACGAUAAUGGGGUAGCACUGAAAGGCACGGAAACUGCUGAGAGGUUCUUAUUUCCUGUCAGCUUUCAGGACUCGAAGGAACUAAUGACAGGGAACAUCUCUAUUCCUUGGAAAUCCGCCUCUUCAAUGGACAAUGAGGUCAGAUGUCAUGGUGGUCUUCCUGUUCCGGACCUUGAGCUUGCAUUAGGAGCAGAAACAAAGUCACCUGGUAAGGGAAUAUCCUUUCUGGUUGAACAGAGCAAGCCCUCUUCAUCAGAUAGGGCCGCUCCUGAGCCCAAGGAGAAUGAGGAUGACGAUCCUUCUGCCUCCCUUUCCCUCUCCCUUUCGUUCCCUUUCCCAGACGAAGAACGAAGAAGCAUCAAGCCUUCUUUACCUAAAGAGAAGCUUCUGCAGGAAGGCACCUUGUGAAUACUUGUAAUUUUGCUCCUCCUCCUCAGAGGCCUCAUUUGAUGGAUACUUUAGGACCGACUUCGCGGCGCCCUGUUCUAUCCUGAUGUUUUGGAAUUCGCAAGAGCCUUUACAUGAUGUCGACCGCACCAAUUGGCCUUGAUGAAUCUUGAUUCCCGUCGAAAAGGCAGAACAGAAGGCCUGCCCGGACAACUCAAAAAUGGGACGCCCAUGAUGGAAUUCCCUGGCCUGGUAGCUUUAGCCAGACGUCGGGAUCCAUGUGGGAAUUCAUGGAUGUUCUCCGAGUGCCGAAGGAUCCACUGGGUUCCAUACGAUAUUAUGUGAAUGCCGAAGAAUCCACCGGGUCCCAGUUGGAUUGCUCGAGCCGUCCUUUGGUUCUUGUUAGGGCAAGUGAGAAUGAAGAUUCCUACAGAUGAGGGAAUCACUCAUAAUUUGUUUUAAUAUUAUUGAACUAGAUGGAGAACCGCAUGUUACGCGGGCUAUUAUUAUGAAAUUUGAUAGUAUCCACUGAACGUUAUUUAAUGAUGUUGUUGUUAUCUCGAAAUUCUCAA